AACCUGAGAAGUCUGUGCUCAAAGUCUGAAUAAAGUCAGAAUUGUAUUGAAGUGUUUAAGAUAAAUAAGGAGCAGAAAAAAGGCAAAAUUGUGUUUGGAAAACAUCAAGAGGGAAGACCACAUUUGGGGGACUACAGGAACCAAAAUACGGAGUUUGAAUGUUUUUCCUAAGCACAAUGGAACCUGUGGAAGAUUUUUAGCAGUAUUCGCAAAAAAGCUCUUACAAUAUUCCAUUCUGUGAGAAGUUUCGACCAAAAAGUGAGUGUAACUCUGAUAACACUUAUUUAUAGAGCAGUUGGCUUUGAUGAACAAUGAACUGUUACUUGAUUUUACUCUUGGUUCAAGGACAUCCACAAGUGCUGUCAAAUUGAAAGCACACAAGUCACCUUCCUAAAGAGGUGGUAAAGCCCAUUAUCACUCAAAUUACGAUCAAAUGACCCAGUUUCUUGGGAAUGCUAACAUUCUUGAAUUUACAUUUUCUAUUGCUAUGCCUCCAAAUUAAUCGCCCCAUAUAAAGAGAUGCUUAGGCUGAGAGUAUGCCCAGGAUGGAAAGAGGAGACAAACACACGAAGUACCCAAUAGCAUUGUCUUCAAAGGACAGGCUCUGAUAGCCGCAGGAAAAGGGAAAAUUAGGUGAAAAAAACCUCAUCUUUUAUUAGAAGUCUUCUUUGAGGGAAACACUAAUUUUCAUCGUGAAUAUCAUUCAGCUGGAGGUGGCAUUGAAGAUUUAAUUUGGAAAGAUGUCAAGAAAACAAAGGAUUUCUCUCUGACCUCCUUUCCCCAAUGGAAAAGAUGAUAUCACUUCGAAGUUUCUUCUAAAACAAAGAAUAACUUUUCAAAAGUUUCCUUUGAAAUUGGAGUCAGUAAAGCUGAACAAAAAUAUCAUAAACACACCUAAUCUUUGUCCACUUCCCAAGCCUGUCCCAAUUUCUGAUGAAUGCUACACUCAGAACCAUUUCUCAUAUAAAGAGAACAUUUGCUAUUUAUUGGAAAAAGUUCCAUUUUUUUGACAAUGUACUGUAAUUCCUUGGGAGUAGGCUCCUAAAUUGUCAAUCUUGGCAUAUGAAAAAUUCAAACGAAUUAACAAUAAAAUUGUUAUAUUAGUCUGUUCUCACACUGCUGUGAAGAAACAUCAGAGACUGGGUAACUUAGAAAGGAAAGAGGUUUACAUGACUCACAGUUCUGCGUUGCUGGGGAGGCCUCAGAAACUUACAAUAAUGGCAGAAGGCAAAACAGAAGCAGGCACCUUACUCACAGUGCAGCAGGAUGGAAUAAGUGCAAGCAAGGGAUACGCUGGAUGCUUAUAAAACCAUCAGAUCUCCUGAGAACUCACUCACUAUCAUGAGAACAGCAUGGGGGAACCGCCACCAUCAUCCAAUUACCUCCACCUGUUCCCGCCCUUGACACAUGGAGAUUAUGGGGAUUACAAAUCAAGGUGGUGAAGAAAUGACAUAUGACAAAGCACAACAGAAAAUAUUCCUGAGGGUAAGCCAUGGCGUUUCAUCAAUUAACAAUAAAGGAAGAAAGCAGGCCUAAAGCCUAUGAUGGAAAAAGAAAAUGGCAGAAGAGAUUGUGAACUUAAGUAAAGUAUUGUAGGUUCAGGAGUACAUGUGCAGAAUGUGCAGUGUUGUUACAUAGAUAAAUGUGUGUCAUGAUGGUUUGCUGCACGGAUCAUCUCAUCACCCAGGUAUUAAGCCCAGCAUCCAUUAGCUAUUCUUUCUUAUGCUCUCCCUUCUAAAAAGUGUUCUACCCUUCACCUUAAAAAAUGCCCCAGUGUGUGUUCUCCACCCCCAUCAUGUGUGCAUGUGUUCUCAUAAUUCAGCUCCCACUUAUAAGAGAGAGCAUGCAGCAUUUGGUUUUCUUUUCCUGCAUUAAUUUGCUGAUAAUAAUGGCUUCCAUGACCUUGCAAAGGACAUGAUUUUGUUCCUUUUUAUGGCUGCAUAGUAUGUAUAUGUACCACAUUUCCUUUAUCCAGUCUAUCAUUUGAUGGGCAUUUAGGUUGAUUCCAUCUCUUUGCAAUUGUGAAGAGUGCUGCAAUAAAUAUACACAUGCAUGUAUCUUUAUAAUAAAAAGAUUUAUAUUCCUUUGGUUAUAUAUCCAGUAAUUGGGAUUGCUGGGUCGAAUCGUAUUUCUGCCUCUAGGUCUUUGAGGAAUGGCCACACUGUCUUCUACAAUGGUUGAGCUAAUUUACACUCCCACCAAUAGUGCAUAAGUAUUCCCUUUUCUCGGCAACCUCACCAUCAUCUGCUAUUAUUUUUUUUGACUUUUUAGUAAUAGCCAUUCUAACUGGUGUUAGAUGGUAUCUGAUUAUGGUUUUGAUUUGCAUUUCACUAAUAAUCAGUGAUGUUGAGCUUUUCUUCAUGUAUUUGCUGGCCACAUGUAUGUCCUCUUUUGAGAAGUGUCUGUUCAUGUCCUUUGCCCACUUUUUAAUGUGGUUGUUUGGUGGUUUUUUUCUUGUAAAUUGUUUAAGCUUCAUGUAGAUGCUGGAUAUUAGACCUUUAUCAGGUGGAUAGAGUGCAAAAAUUUUCUUCCGCUCUUUACAUUGUCUGUUUCCUCUGUUGAUAGUUUCUUUUGCUGUGCAGAAACUCUUUUGUUUAAUUAAAUCCCAUUUGUCAAUUUUUGCUUUUGUUCCAAUUGCUUUUGGCAUCUUCGUCAUGAAAUCUUUGCCUGUGCCUAUAUCCUGAAUAGAAUUGCCUUUGUUUUCUUAUAGGGUUUUUAUAGUUUUGGGUUUUACAUUGAAGUCUUUAAACCAUAUUGAGUUAAUUUCUGUAUAAGUUGUAAGGAAUGGGUCCUGUUUCAAUUUUCUGCAUAUAGCUAGGCAGUUCUUUCUGUACCAUUUAUUAAACAGGGAAUCUUUUCCCCAUUGCUUGUUUUUGUCAGAUUUGUCAAAGAUCAGAUGGUUGUCAGUGUGUAGUCUUAUUUCUGCGUUCUCUAUUCUGUUCCAUUGAUCUGUGUGUCUGUUCUUGUACCAGUAUCAUGCUGUUUUGAUUACUGUAGCCCUGUAGUAUAGUUUGAAUUCAGAUAGCAUGAUGCCUUCAGCUUCGUUCUUUUUGCUUAGAAUAGCCUUGGCUAUUUGGGCUCUUUUUUUGUUUUCAUAGGUAUUAUAAAACAGUUUUUUCUAAUUCUAUGAGGAAUGUCAAUGGUAGUUUAACAGGAACAGCACUGAAUCUAUAAAUUACUUCAGGCAGUAUGGCCAUUUUCACAAUAUUGAUUCUUCCUAUUCAUGAACGUGAACUUUUUUGUGUUUACUUUUGUCAUCCCUGACUCCUCUGAGCAGAGCUUUGUAGUUACCUUGUAGAGAUAUUUCACAUCCUUUGUUAGCUGUAUUCCUAUGUGUUUUAUUCUGUUUGUGAUGAUUGUGAUUGGGAGUUCAUUUGUGAUUUGACUCUCAACUUGACUCUUGUUGGUGUACAGGAAUGCUAACAAUGUUUGC
rnacentral:lncRNA from 1 species